CGCCAGCCCUGCGCGUCAAAACCCUAGCCGCCAGCCCUGCGCCCACUCCGCCUCGUUCUCCUCCCCGCUCGCUGCAUCCUCUCCCAUGUCGCCGCCCCUCUUCUCCUGUCUCGCCUCGGCCGCCUCCUCUCCUCCCCGCGUCACCGGCCCCCUCCCUCCUCCUCCCUCCUUCGUCCUCACAGCCGACCAUCUCCGUCACUUGGGCCCCAUGGCAAUGGCCGGGUCUUCCGGUCGGGAUUUAGACGAGGAAAAGGAAAAAUCGAGCGUCUCGAUGGUGCCAUGACUGAUGCACGGCGACGGCUAGCGUCUGUGAGCACCACACAUGGUGCAGCAGGCUCGGCGGGCAGUGGGCGCGGUGGUCAAGGCCAGGGGCGCGGAUUGGGGGAGAUGCGCACACGAGGAGCGACGGCGACCGCAUCUGCCGCCAACACCGAGGCCAUACUGCCAGUACAUUCCAAGUGGAAUGGAGUACCCAGUUUUGUCCAGAAAGUUGAGGCCUUCCGAUGGUUCUUUUGCAAUGAGGGUUUCAAUGCUAACCAUAUUGCAUUUCCAUUUUCAGGGUGUCCUUUUACUGGGUACCCACCCUCCAGUGCAUAUAUUUGCAUGAUGAUGUAAUGUUAGACCAACUUUCUAGUUUAAAUAAAACUUUGUAGAAAAUCAAAUAAGAGGAUGGCAUUAUUUCGGCCUCGAUUUGGGCCAAAUCGGGGAAGCCCUUCUCUUAUUUGAUUCUCUUGCAGCACUCGGCUGGUUCCAAGACCGCGAGGGUAAGGACUUCCUGUUGUGUGCGUGCUUGCCUUUGAACCAAAUCGAACCCAACAGAAAAACACACACACAUGCGUGCAUUUUUUUCCGUGUCCCUGAUGUUGUGUUGUAAUUGGUGUAGCUGCCGGAGGGGAAAGAGCAGAGGAUCCGAGAGGUGAAGCAACCGGAGGAGCCGGAGAACACGACCCCUGUCCUAUGUACCGGCCAUAUCCCCCACGGCUUUUACAAGGACUAGAUGCAAGGAGCUUGGGGCUAUUAAGAAGAGGGUCAGUAUUGCCCGGAACCACAAGCCUUUUCAUUCUAGGCAUCAUUUCCCAUUUGUUUGGGAUCCAAUUCUAAAAAUGCUUGGCAGCGUUGGUUUGGCCUUCUAUUAAUCUCCAGAUGAUAGAUGUGAUUAUAAAUGGCAUUAAGAAUGAGUAGAUCCGACUUGGGGAGGGCAUGGUUGAUGUAUGCAACCAUGGGAGUGUCAGCUUAGUCUGGUCCUCAUCGACCAAAGGCUCCCAGGCUUGGCCAUCGCCAGAGUUAUGUGAAACAAGGUUUUUUAGGGAACUCUUUUGAAAGGCAUGAGUGUACAUAACACAUGUUUCAUCGUCUUCUCUUUCUUUCAUGAGUUGUUGAACAGAUCUUAUGAAGCUUGAUUGAUAGUGUUUCAACUCAGAUGAAGUGUUCUGGAGGAUCAGUUUUGCAGAUCUUGGAGAUCAUUAUACGUUCUAUACAAUGCACUGUUCGGGAGUGUUGCAUGCCUUUGUAUUGUGUUCCUGAACCUCGCUAA